rnacentral:lncRNA from 1 species
CAGCAAGAUACUGAGUUUUUCACUUUUUGGAAAUUUUCAAAUCUUCCAAGAAAUCAGUAUUAUUAAAUCAGAAAACUAGUGAAAAAAAUUAAAUGUUAAAACUGUUUCACAACUACCAAUGGAUUAUUAAGGAAGUACUAGGUGAGUAAACUGGCUUUAAGGCCUGGCUACAUGGACUCCUUUUUCACCUCAAUGAAAAAAGUGUCCAAGAAAAUUUUACUGCAAAGUCUUAAGUUUUGUAUCAUUAAUGCCAGCA